rnacentral:lncRNA from 1 species
GUGGUUCUCAGCCUCCCUAAUGCUAUAAUCCUUUACUAUAGUUCCACGUAUUUAUUAAUACAACUCAUGUUGUGGUGACCCACAACCAGAAAAUUACUUUGCUGCUAUUUUGCUAACUGUACUUCUACUGUAAUGAAUCAUAAUGUACAUAUGUGAUAUGCAGGAUAUGAUAUAUGCCCAUGAAAAGGAUCUUCCGACCCCACAAAGGGGCAACGACCCACAGGAUGAGAACUGCUGCCGUCAAUCAUCACCUGGGUCUGGUUAUUAUCCAGGCCUGGAGCAAAGGAUGCCCACGAAGCGGUCAUCACUCACCAGUGGGUCACCCUGUAAUCACUGCAACCAAACAACUGCACUGUUACCACGCUGUGAGCCAUGUAUUUGAAAGGAUAAUACCAAACUGAAAACCAAAUCCUGGUUUUAAUCAACUCUGUGGAAAGUGUAAUAUAUUCUGACAAAAUAUAUAUGGUGAAACUGUCUCAAUUUGAAUAAAUAUUUUUAUUGCAAUUCUGAACCAAUUUUAAAAGAAAAGAUACACUUCCUUGUCCAAGUCUUACAGUGUGCUUACCAUCACCUCUGCCAAAAUCAUAAAAUCAUUUCUUUUCCC